GUGCGCAUUUCAGCAACACAUUUACUAAAACCAGAACAAUUCAGAGAAGAUUAGCAUAGUCCCUGCACAAGGAUGACAUGCAAAUUUGUGAAGCAAUACCUCUCUAG
rnacentral:snRNA from 1 species